GAUGAACGCUGGCGGCGUGCCUAAUACAUGCAAGUAGAACGCUGAAGGAAGGAGCUUGCUCUUUCCGGAUGAGUUGCGAACGGGUGAGUAACGCGUAGGUAACCUGCCUGGUAGCGGGGGAUAACUAUUGGAAACGAUAGCUAAUACCGCAUAACAGUAGAUGUUGCAUGAUAUCUACUUAAAAGGUGCAAUUGCACCACUACCAGAUGGACCUGCGUUGUAUUAGCUAGUUGGUGAGGUAACGGCUCACCAAGGCGACGAUACAUAGCCGACCUGAGAGGGUGAUCGGCCACACUGGGACUGAGACACGGCCCAGACUCCUACGGGAGGCAGCAGUAGGGAAUCUUCGGCAAUGGACGGAAGUCUGACCGAGCAACGCCGCGUGAGUGAAGAAGGUUGUCGGAUCGUAAAGCUCGGUUGUAAGAGAAGAACGAGUGUGAGAGUGGAAAGUUCACACUGUGACGGUAGCUUACCAGAAAGGGACGGCUAACUACGUG
rnacentral:rRNA from 1 species